rnacentral:rRNA from 1 species
AUGCAGACCCACGCUAUUCUUCCCCAACGUGGCCGCCAUUUUCGGUAUCUGAUGAGGGAGAGAGGGAGGAAGUUGGAGAACAGGCGACCAACGCUAAUGGAGUUCCCUAUGCAGCCAAUCAGAAGAUCCACGCUGAUUGAGGAGGUAGGAGAGAGUCUGCUGCCGGAAGGUUCACCGGCGGACGGUGGUGGAGGUGCUGUUUCUGGUCGACACGAGUGUAAGCGGCAAUGGGCGGAUAUGUGUGGCAUCUCUGCACCGGCGGCGAUGAGCGAAGAUGGGCGAAUCUGCAGUAUGGCAGCAGUGUGA